CCUACGGGAGGCAGCAGUGGGGAAUUUUGGACAAUGGGCGAAAGCCUGAUCCAGCAAUGCCGCGUGUGUGAAGAAGGCCUUCGGGUUGUAAAGCACUUUUGUCCGGAAAGAAAUCCUUGACUCUAAUACAGUCGGGGGAUGACGGUACCGGAAGAAUAAGCACCGGCUAACUACGUGCCAGCAGCCGCGGUAAUACGUAGGGUGCGAGCGUUAAUCGGAAUUACUGGGCGUAAAGCGUGCGCAGGCGGUUUGCUAAGACCGAUGUGAAAUCCCCGGGCUCAACCUGGGAACUGCAUUGGUGACUGGCAGGCUAGAGUAUGGCAGAGGGGGGUAGAAUUCCACGUGUAGCAGUGAAAUGCGUAGAGAUGUGGAGGAAUACCGAUGGCGAAGGCAGCCCCCUGGGCCAAUACUGACGCUCAUGCACGAAAGCGUGGGGAGCAAACAGGAUUAGAUACCCUGGUAGUCCACGCCCUAAACGAUGUCAACUAGUUGUUGGGGAUUCAUUUCCUUAGUAACGUAGCUAACGCGUGAAGUUGACCGCCUGGGGGAGGUACGGUCGCAGAUAAACUACGAAGAAGUAGAGNGUGAGAGNGCGAGACGACGACGAGGGAGGAGG
rnacentral:rRNA from 1 species